GGAUGUGAGGGCGAUCUGGCUGCAACAUCUGUCACCCCAUUGAUCGCCAGGGUUGAUUCGGCUGAUCUGGCUGGCUAGGCGGGUGUCCCCUUCCUCCCUCACCGCUCCAUGUGCGUCCCUCCCGAAGCUGCGCUCUCGGUCGAAGAGGACGACCAUCCCCGAUAGAGGAGAGGACCGUUCUUCCGUCAAGGGUAUACGAGUAGCUGCGCUCCCCUGCUAGAACCUCCAAACAAGCUCUCAAGACCAAUUUUCUCACCAAAAACAAUUUAGAAAAUUUAAGGGAAAAUGUUAAAAAAAAAAAAUCUGUUU
rnacentral:snRNA from 1 species